rnacentral:rRNA from 1 species
UACGUAGGGUGCGAGCGUUAAUCGGAAUUACUGGGCGUAAAGCGUGCGCAGGCGGCGCGUUAAGACAGGUGUGAAAGCCCCGAGCUUAACUUGGGAAUUGCGCUUGUGACUGGCGUGCUGGAGUGUGGCAGAGGGAGGUGGAAUUCCACGUGUAGCAGUGAAAUGCGUAGAGAUGUGGAGGAACACCGAUGGCGAAGGCAGCCUCCUGGGAUAACACUGACGCUCAUGCACGAAAGCGUGGGGAGCAAACAGG